rnacentral:rRNA from 1 species
GAUGAACGCUGGCGGCGUGCCUAAUACAUGCAAGUCGAGCGAACGGACGAGAAGCUUGCUUCUCUGAUGUUAGCGGCGGACGGGCGAGUAACACGUGGAUAACCUACCUAUAAGACUGGGAUAACUUCGGGAAACCGUAGCUAAUACCGGAUAAUAUUUUGAACCGCAUGGUUCAAAAGUGAAAGACGGUCUUGCUGUCACUUAUAGAUGGAUCCGCGCUGCAUUAGCUAGUUGGUAAGGUAACGGCUUACCAAGGCAACGAUGCAUAGCCGACCUGAGAGGGUGAUCGGCCACACUGGAACUGAGACACGGUCCAGACUCCUACGGGAGGCAGCAGUAGGGAAUCUUCCGCAAUGGGCGAAAGCCUGACGGAGCAACGCCGCGUGAGUGAUGAAGGUCUUCGGAUCGUAAAACUCUGUUAUUAGGGAAGAACAUAUGUGUAAGUAACUGUGCACAUCUUGACGGUACCUAAUCAGAAAGCCACGGCUAACUACGUG